GCAGCACGGGAGCAAUCCUGGUGGCGAGUGGCGAACGGGUGAGUAAUGUAUCGGAACGUGCCCAGUCGUGGGGGAUAACGCAGCGAAAGCUGUGCUAAUACCGCAUACGAUCUAUGGAUGAAAGCGGGGGAUCGCAAGACCUCGUGCGCUUGGAGCGGCCGAUAUCAGAUUAGGUAGUUGGUGAGGUAAAGGCUCACCAAGCCGACGAUCUGUAGCUGGUCUGAGAGGACGACCAGCCACACUGGGACUGAGACACGGCCCAGACUCCUACGGGAGGCAGCAGUGGGGAAUUUUGGACAAUGGGCGCAAGCCUGAUCCAGCAAUGCCGCGUGCAGGACGAAGGCCUUCGGGUUGUAAACUGCUUUUGUACGGAGCGAAAAGGCUCUCUCUAAUACAGGGGGCUCAUGACGGUACCGUAAGAAUAAGCACCGGCUAACUACGUGCCAGCAGCCGCGGUAAUACGUAGGGUGCAAGCGUUAAUCGGAAUUACUGGGCGUAAAGCGUGCGCAGGCGGUUAUGUAAGACAGAGGUGAAAUCCCCGGGCUCAACCUGGGAACUGCCUUUGUGACUGCAUAGCUAGAGUACGGCAGAGGGGGAUGGAAUUCCGCGUGUAGCAGUGAAAUGCGUAGAUAUGCGGAGGAACACCGAUG
rnacentral:rRNA from 1 species